rnacentral:rRNA from 1 species
CAGUCGCCACGGGAAUACGGAGGGUGCAAGCGUUACUCGGAAUCACUGGGCGUAAAGGACGCGUAGGCGGAUUAUCAAGUCUCUUGUGAAAUCUAACGGCUUAACCGUUAAACUGCUUGGGAAACUGAUAAUCUAGAGUAAGGGAGAGGCAGAUGGAAUUCUUGGUGUAGGGGUAAAAUCCGUAGAUAUCAAGAAGAAUACCUAUUGCGAAGGCGAUCUGCUGGAACUUAACUGACGCUAAUGCGUGAAAGCGUGGGGAGCAAACAGGAUUAGGUACCCCAGUAUCCCUGUCUCUUAUACA